GAAAGGGAAAAACAGGCCCCUUCUGCAGCCUGGCUGCAAAGAGGGGGAAAGAAGAAGAGGGCCUGGCCUCAAGACCUGCCUCUCUCUCUCUCUCGCUUACCAGUUGUUUGUGAGUCACAUCCCUCACAAACAUACACUCACUCCAACGCUGUCUCUAACUCUGGCCUAGGCAGAGCUGGGGGGGCCACAGGGCUCCCCUCUCCCCCCUGGAGGUGAGGGAAGAAAGAGCCCAGCCACCCCUGGCCUUCUACACCUACACGCAGCAGACACCAACAGAGAGAUAUGCCAACAGCUUCAGACCUGUUCAUACUCUUUCCUUUGUGAUGAGUCAUGGCAAGAGUGGCAUGAAUGUCCUGUAUUCUUUGGUCUGCGGAGCUGUCGUAACAUAAGCCGGAUUUCUGCAUCGUUAUUUUAUUACUUCACAGCAUUAAAUAAAUGUCACAAAGAAAUAGGCUUACCCAGUAAAUAUACUUGUUAUGGCAUCUGUUUGGGUACAGUUGACUGAAAAGAAGGGACAGAGGAAGAAAAGGUAACAGAAAGAUAAAUCCUAUGCUUUUGUUAGUGUGAUUCUUAACAUGAUGGCUGACUAAACUGUAGACAUUUUCUUAUAUUUUAGAAUGAUUCUUAAUUUCUGUAUUACAAUUCAUAUUCUUAAACAAGCAACCAUUCCU